CCUACGGGCGGCUGCAGUCGAGAAUCUUCCGCAAUGGGGGAAACCCUGACGAAGCGACGCCGCGUGCAGGAUGAAGGCCUUCGGGUUGUAAACUGCUGUCAGCUGGGGCGAAUGAGUUUUCGGUGAACAAUCGAGAGCUCUUGACGGUACCAGCAGAGGAAGCCACGGCUAACUCUGUGCCAGCAGCCGCGGUAAUACAGAGGUGGCGAGCGUUGUUCGGAUUUAUUGGGCGUAAAGGGUCUGUAGGCGGUCAGGAAUGUCGGAUGUGAAAUCCCACAGCUUAACUGUGGAACUGCAUUCGAAACUUCCUGACUAGAGUAUGAGAGAGGUAAAGGGAAUUCCCGGUGUAAGGGUGAAAUCUGCAGAGAUCGGGAGGAACACCAGUAGCGAAGGCGCUUUACUGGCUCAUUACUGACGCUGAGGGACGAAAGCUAGGGGAGCAAACGGGAUUAGAUACCCCGGUAGUC
rnacentral:rRNA from 1 species